AUCUGACAAGGCCCUGCUCCCUCAUCGUGUCCAGGCCACCUGGCCAGUGGCUUGGCAUGAGCAUCUCUAAGGCUGUGUGAUCUGUUUAGCAUGGAACCAAUCACUUUAAACUGCAUUUCAUCACCGGGCCAAGUACGGUCAAAACAUGAGAGACCCUUAGACCAGAGGGUAAACAAGCUUAAAAGAAAAAGAAAAGAGACAGCUGAAAUGCGGCGAAAGGGGCUUUUUUUAAACGGGGGGGGGCAGUUUACCCCAAGACUUAUUUCAUCCUGUUGCACGAUGAGCAUUACUAUGGGGUUGUGAAAAAGUUGUUCGGAGCAAAAAAAUAUGGUGAGUUUUGCCCCACGGUGCACAGUCACGGCCACUCUCGCAGGUACAGCUGCUGCCUCUGCUUGAGCGUAACCUGCUCAGACAGCGUGGACGUGCAGCUGAGGUGUCCUCGCUGUAGACUGUAUUGUCAGUCCAGAGAGCGUUUAGACAGACACAUCGACUGGGCAUCGACAGAACAAGCUGAAUGCCUGUCUAAAACGUUGUGCGAUAAGGGUCAGUCUUACGUGGACAAGCGGCACAGACGUAAAGGGAGGCGCUGUAAGCAGGGUCAGGGUUUGAUCGCUGGUGAUGUAGACGGUCACCUCGGUUUUAUGGACAGCCUUAGAAAGCCCGAAUCCUCAGAAAAGUGUAUUUGUUAUGAUUCCGAAUACACACAGGAGACUGGCUUGCACACUCCCAAUUACAUUUUUGCUAUGUCCCUCAAGACGGAAAAGUCCUGGGAAUUUAAGGGUGAUGAGUGUCUUUCUAUGUUUGUUCAGACCUUUAUUGGCAAAGAGUUCUGGGUCUACACGUUCCAGGCGCACAAUUCCAAAGGUUACGAUGCAU